rnacentral:rRNA from 1 species
GAUGAACGCUGGCGGCGUGCUUAACACAUGCAAGUCGAACGGGAAUUAUUUUAUUGAAACUUCGGUCGAUUUCAUUUAAUUCUAGUGGCGGACGGGUGAGUAACGCGUGGGUAACCUGCCUUAUACAGGGGGAUAACAGUCAGAAAUGGCUGCUAAUACCGCAUAAGCGCACAGAGCUGCAUGGCUCAGUGUGAAAAACUCCGGUGGUAUAAGAUGGACCCGCGUUGGAUUAGCUGGUUGGUGGGGUAACGGCCCACCAAGGCGACGAUCCAUAGCCGGCCUGAGAGGGUGAACGGCCACAUUGGGACUGAGACACGGCCCAGACUCCUACGGGAGGCAGCAGUGGGGAAUAUUGCACAAUGGGGGAAACCCUGAUGCAGCGACGCCGCGUGAAGGAAGAAGUAUCUCGGUAUGUAAACUUCUAUCAGCAGGGAAGAUAGUGACGGUACCUGACUAAGAAGCCCCGGCUAACUACGUG